CACAAACGCAAACGUUGGUUUCUCUGUCCUUAAAGAAGGGGGCAAAUGCAAACGGAGCGACAACAUUUCCUGUCACACCCCCGCCGUGUCACCGACCCUGCAGGAGACAAAAGCUGCAGCCCCACGUGUCUGCAGUGAACACCCACAACUCCCGCUGGGGAAUUCACGCCGAGCUUAGCGGAAGAUGCUCCUCUGGCUGCAUGUUGCUGUCAUGGCGGCACUUCCCCAAGGGGCCCAACCGCAGGUUCAGCUGGUGGAGUCUGGGGGAGACGGGAAAAUGGCAGGAGACUCUAUCAACAUCUCGUGUAAAGCCUCCGGGUUCACCUUUGGUGACUACUGGAUGCACUGGUACCGGCAGGCUCCCGGGAAAGCACCCCAGUGGGUGUCCGGCAUUAGCUAUUGGGCCGGAACCGACAAGAGAUACGCUGUGUCGGUGAAAGGGCGAUUCACCAUCUCCAGAGACAACCCCAACAACCUGCUGUAUCUGCAAAUGACUGGCCUGAAACCCGAGGACGCAGCGAUGUAUUAUUGUCAGAGAGACACAGUGACUGCCAGGGACUCUAACCACAGCGAGCUGGUCUCUGAGCAACAAGGGCGGGGGCGAGCGGGCUGCGUGUGUAUCAAUGUCAGCGAGCGAGUGAGCGAGCCGGGAGGUGUGUGA